GCUUGUUGAUCCGCUCGGCGAAGAUCCGGUCGAUCUGUCCGGCCGGGUCACCCGAUCAGGGUGGCGACCACGAUCUUGUCGCGGGACGUGCC
rnacentral:tRNA from 1 species